UACGAAGGGGACUAGCGUUGUUCGGAAUCACUGGGCGUAAAGCGCACGUAGGCGGAUUCGUAAGUCAGGGGUGAAAUCCCGGGGCUCAACCUCGGAACUGCCUUUGAUACUGCGGGUCUUGAGUCCGAUAGAGGUGGGCGGAAUUCCUAGUGUAGAGGUGAAAUUCGUAGAUAUUAGGAAGAACACCGGUGGCGAAGGCGGCCCACUGGAUCGGUACUGACGCUGAGGUGCGAAAGCGUGGGGAGCAAACAGG
rnacentral:rRNA from 1 species